rnacentral:rRNA from 1 species
GACGAACGCUGGCGGCGUGCUUAACACAUGCAAGUCGAACGGAAAGGCCCCUUCGGGGGUACUCGAGUGGCGAACGGGUGAGUAACACGCGAGUAACCUGCCCUUGACUUCGGGAUAACUUCAGGAAACUGGGGCUAAUACCGGAUAGGAAUCCUUGCCGCAUGGUGGGGGUUGGUAAGCUUCGGCGGUUUUGGAUGGACUCGCGGCGUAUCAGCUUGUUGGUGGGGUAGUGGCUUACCAAGGCUUUGACGGGUAGCCGGCCUGAGAGGGCGACCGGCCACAUUGGGACCGGGAGACGGCCCAAGCUCCGACGGGAGGCAGCAGUGGGGAAUAUUGCACAAUGGGCGGGAGCCUGAUGCAGCAACGCCGCGGGCGGGAUGACGGCCUUCGGGUUGUAAACCGCUUUCAGCAGGGGCGAAGCUUGUGGUGACGGUACCUGCAGAAGAAGCACCGGCUAACUACGUG